CCUACGGGAGGCUGCAGUGGGGAAUAUUGGACAAUGGGGGGAACCCUGAUCCAGCCAUGCCGCGUGUGUGAAGAAGGCCCUCGGGUUGUAAAGCACUUUCAGUGAGGAAGAACGCCUGGUGGUUAAUACCCAUCAGGAAAGACAUCACUCACAGAAGAAGCACCGGCUAACUCCGUGCCAGCAGCCGCGGUAAUACGGAGGGUGCGAGCGUUAAUCGGAAUUACUGGGCGUAAAGCGCGCGUAGGUGGCUUGAUAAGCCGGUUGUGAAAGCCCCGGGCUCAACCUGGGAACGGCAUCCGGAACUGUCAAGCUAGAGUGCAGGAGAGGAAGGUAGAAUUCCCGGUGUAGCGGUGAAAUGCGUAGAGAUCGGGAGGAAUACCAGUGGCGAUGGCGGCCUUCUGGACUGACACUGACACUGAGGUGCGAAAGCGUGGGUAGCAAACAGGAUUAGAUACCCUUGUAGUC
rnacentral:rRNA from 1 species